CUGAAAGCAAUUUGCCCAGAUAAAGCUUUUGGGAUCUCACUUUUGGCUUUCUACAAGAGGGGAUUUAAUGCCUAGAGCCUGAUUCUGAACAUGGGAACAUUGUGUAUGAUCAGUACAAUUCAGGAAGAGUUUGAACUAGAAAAGGCAUAGAGUUCCUGCCUUCAACCCUCCUGGAGAUCUCUAAGCUGCUGGUAUGCCAGGAAAAGCCACAAUAUGAGGUGUACCACCAUCUGGGAUGUUGUCAUGUACUUACUCUACAACUAUAAUCCACUAGGAUCUUCAGUUCAGCAGAUCAAAGCCAGGAAGAUUGUUGGGCCAUCUUUCUCCUGAACUGCAAUUAUUGCAUGGAUAACACUAAAGAGAUAAUUAACAUGGCAUGCAUUUUAUAUCUGAG
rnacentral:lncRNA from 1 species